UACGGAGGGUGCGAGCGUUAAUCGGAAUUACUGGGCGUAAAGCGCACGUAGGCGGUUGAGUAAGUCUGCCGUGAAAGCCCUGGGCUUAACCGAGGAAUGGCGGUGGAGACUGCUGAGCUAGAGUGUGAGAGAGGGGGGUGGAAUUCCCGGUGUAGCGGUGAAAUGCGUAGAGAUCGGGAGGAACACCAGUGGCGAAGGCGGCCCCCUGGUUCAACACUGACGCUGAGGUGCGAAAGCGUGGGGAGCAAACAGG
rnacentral:rRNA from 1 species